GGAUCAGAUCUAGAUCAAUGCAGACAUGGCUACUGGUUUCUCAGGUCUGCGUGAUGAAUGUGGACACUUGAAAAAUCAUCAAAGACACAGUGAUCUGUGAGUUUAGAUUCGGCCACCAGCAGCCCAUAAAUCACAGCUUCAAAGGAGACGAUCCGUCCUCGGAUGAGAGCUUACACAACCUCCAGCUGCUCUUGGAGUUUCUUUUAAAAUCAUUGUCUGACUGCAUAUGAGGACCUUCUAUAAAUACCGAUGCAAUGCGGUCAACAGAAAGUUGGACAAAAAGUGUUCAUCUGUGAUGGGAUGUUCCAUCUCGUCAGGACACUGCCGGCAGCUGCGGGACUGUCUGUUUCCAUCCAUCAGACUCAAUAUUGUACACACAGCCUCUUUCAAGAUGCACCGCAUCCCAUCAGUAAAACCAAGAGAAGAUGAACAAUACUGGGUCGGUUAC